CUAAAAACAAUUUGAACAUAGUUCCUAUGCUGCAAGCAUAACCCGCUUAAAGUCAGACAGCUAGUAAUUUGCAAGGUGGGCUCCUAAAAUCGGGUUGACAUCAAAGCUCAUGUCCUCUGUACUGCACUUAUUUCUGCCAAACAAGGGACAGUCAAGUGGACAACUGCGGCACGGCACCUAGGCAUCUGCUAGCUCUCCCAAGCCAUUUAACAAGUGGAAAGAUUUCCUCCUGACUUCUGCCUCUCUAAGCUACGUGGAGUCUGAAGAAGACUGAACCUCAGCUCGAUCAUGAUAAGGCCCAGGCACUCACAGAUCAUUUGAUCUCUAGGUAAACACAACCUACUUCUAAAUAAAUGCACUAGGGCCAGGGAUUUAGCUCAGUGGU
rnacentral:lncRNA from 1 species